rnacentral:rRNA from 1 species
ACGCGAAGAACCUUACCCAGGCUUGAACAGCGAGUGACCAUCGACGAAAGUUGACUUCCGCAAGGACACUCGUAGAGGUGCUGCAUGGCUGUCGUCAGCUCGUGUCGUGAGAUGUUGGGUUAAGUCCCGCAACGAGCGCAACCCUUGUCUGCUGUUGCCAUCACGUUAUGGUGGGCACUCUGCAGAGACUGCCGGUGAUAAACCGGAGGAAGGUGGGGAUGACGUCAAGUCAGCAUGGCCUUUAUGUCUGGGGCUACACACGUGCUACAAUGGCCGGUACAAACCGUCGCGAUACCGCAAGGUGGAGCUAAUCGGAGAAAGCCGGUCUCAGUUCGGAUAGCAGGCUGCAACUCGCCUGCUUGAAGUUGGAAUCGCUAGUAAUCGCGGAUCAGCACGCCGCGGUGAAUACGUUCCCGGGCCUUGUA